CUGAAAAUCCUGGCUGAGGUGCUCGAUGCUAAGAGCUACCGUGUGUCAGGCUCACCUGAGGACAGACUCUGAUCAAACCAAGUUGAACUUUUAAUUCCUCCCAUCUUCAAAGACUGAGCAUCUUUGCUCUUUUUGCUCAUAAGUGAAACACUCCAGAGUCAUUUGCCGGGAUCCGCUGCAGAUGGGUAUUCAGUGCUUGGAGGACAGACUCCUAGGCAAGAUCCCUGGUCACAGUAUCCAAAUGACUAUGACUGCAAAUCUGGGGAAGUAGAGAGAGAACAAAGAUUGACCACAAAAACCCUCUGGGAAUUCCUCCCCAGGGCAUCCUAGAGGAAAGAGCUCCCUUUCGCCUCAGCGCUGCAGGAUCCACAGAGGAAGUGGAGCUUUGGCCACCAGGAAGGAGCCAUAUGAGAGGAGAGGACCCGGUGUCCAACACAGGUGGGGAAGUGAGUUCAUGGGGCUGGUCCCUGCUCUGGGCUUGAUCCUGACAUAGGACUUUAUGUAGACACCACCUGAGUCCUCUACAAUGUACAGCCAAAGAGCCAUGGACAGAUUCACUCCUGAGGAGUCUGAAGACUCCUCAGUAGAGUGUGAAGACCGCCCUGAAGUCACAGGGAGGAGACACAGACACCACUUGGCCUGGCUUGGACCUGAGAGAGGGGGCAGUGGACAGAAUGGGGGGAGGAAGCCGUGUAUGUGAGAGGCUCUGGUCACCUGAUCAUAGAAGGGUUUUCCUUGUUCUGGGCACCAGGGGGCGCAUGGGGAUCAUUCCUGAGAAGACAGAGGGUGAUUAGAGCAGAACCAGCCACCUGCCCUGCCUGGUGUCCUCUGCUCAGGGCUCACAGCUCCGUCCUCCCCACCCCCUAGGACCACAAAGCUCCACCCCUGCCACCCCCUGACAUCCUCAAGCCGAGGAGCCUGGCCCAGGGCUCAGGGCGGGGUCACAAAGCUGGGGGGUCUGAUUUGCAUGGAUGGACUCUCCCCCUCUCAGACUAUGAAGACAAGGAGAGAUUUGGGGGAAGCUCAGCUUCAGCUGUGGGUACAGAAGGCAGGACUCAGGACAAUCUCCAGCAUGGCCUGGUCCCCUCUCCUCCUCACCCUCCUCACUUACUGUGCAGGGUCCUGGGCCCAGUCUGUGCUGACUCAACCUCGCUCAGCGUCUGAGGCCGCCAGGAAGAGUGUCACCAUCCCCUGUUCUGGAAGCAGCUCCAACAUCGGAAGUAAUUAUGUAUCCUGGUACCAGCAGCUCCCAGGAACAGCUCCCAAACUCCUCAUCUAUUAUAAUGAUGAACGAGCCUCAGGUGUCUCUGACCGAUUCUCUGGCGCCAAGUCUGGCACGUCAGCCUCCCUGGCCAUCAGUGGGCUCCAGACCGAGGAUGAGGCUGAUUAUUACUGCGCAGCAUGGGAUGAUAGCCUGAGCGGUCCCACAGUGCUCCAGGGCCAGGGGGAAGUGAGACAAGAACCCCCUUCCUCCUCUGCCCGAAGGGUGAUCCCUGGCACCUGCUGCUCAGGCCUGGCCUGCGGCUUCUGCUGCUGUAGCUUCCCCCAUGGGUCCAGGGGCAUCCAGGGCUCUGCCUGAGAAUGGAGGCUCCUCCUCCCCUUUAGUCCUCAGAGUCAGGAACAGGGUGUCCAGAAAACAGAAAGUUCUGUUCCCUGCAGCUUGGGACCCAGGGUGUCUGCACUGAAGUCCUGGGCUGAGGUGGCAGGUCCAGCUGUGUCAUCACAGACCCACCUCUGAUGGGGAACCUGUGUCUCCGUCAUCCUCCUUUUCCCAUUUCCAGGAGUUUCCAGAGUGCUGCCUUCCUCCUCCUGUUCCUCAGUUUGAAUCCCUGUGCUUCCUUUCUCUCAAGCCUAUUCUUUUUUUAAUACAACUCCUUUCAUGUAGGAAUAAUGCACAUAUAAUAAACCACCCAUAUUUACAAUAGG